rnacentral:lncRNA from 1 species
UUAAAUGUUCCCUUAUUUUUCCUUAAUCUCAUUUGAUUACUUUCAUCAUUUAAAUGCAGAAAUCCUUUCUUCCUUUCUUCAUCAUAUACUGCCGAAAUUCAUUAUUCUUCAAGUUUUUCAAGCAACAACUAAUCAAGAACCCAUUUCACAAAAAUCAUUCAUUUCACGAAAUCAAGAUAUCAAGAAAUCAACUAAUUCAUUCAAGGAAUCAAGAAAUCAUUCAUUUCACGAACCCAUAUACUGCCUAAAUUCAUUAAUUUCACGGAAUCAAGAAAUCAACUAAUCAAGCAACAAGAACUCAUCACAAAAAUCAACGAAAAUUACCCAUUUCACGAAAAUUUCUAAGAACUCAUCGUCUUCCUCAGAAAAUCAAGAACCCUAAAUCAAGAAUUUAGAAAUCAAACUAUGAGAAAGAAAAUUCGAGAUCUGCAACCCCACCAAAUAUCUGCGGUUUCAGCCACCACAUUGUCUCCCUCACUAGAUCUGGGGAUCCCGGUGUACGCGGUGAAGGCGGAGAAUGCGGUGGAGGUGGCUAGAGACGACGACAGAGGAAGAAGAAAAGGGUGGAGAGGAGGCGGCUUGGCAGAGGUUCCGGGAUCUGGAGGGGGAGAAGACCGCCAUGGCUGGAAGAGGGGAGAAGGAGAGCCGCAGAGGCGGUGGAAAUGGCGGUGGGGUUGUGAGUAUGGGCAGCAGCGGUGCUCGUGGCCGUUGAAGAAUCGGCGGAGGCGCUGGGAAAUGACGGUGGGGUUGUGAGUAUGGACAGCAGCGGUGCUCGUGGCCGUUGAAGAGUCGGCAGAGGCGCUAGGGUCUGUGUGGCCGGAGCUCUGGAGAGUCACGGCGGCGCUCUCUGUUGAGAGAGAGAAGGGAAAAGGCGGAAGAGUGAAGGAAAAAUGAGAGCUUUUAGGGUUUUAAUUAGGGGUGUAUAUCCUUUAAUUAAGUAGUUAUAAUUUUAAUUAGAGCCCCUAAUUAUUUCCAAUUUUAGACUGGGCCUAUUGGAGUGGGACGUCCCAAAAAGGAAACUGAGCCUAUUGGGCUGGGACGGAGGGAG